GAUGAACGCUGGCGGCGUGCUUAACACAUGCAAGUCGAACGAGAAUCAACGGAUUGAGGAUUCGUCCAAAUGAAGUUGAGGAAAGUGGCGGACGGGUGAGUAACGCGUGAGGAACCUGCCUCGGAGUGGGGAAUAACAGUUGGAAACAGCUGCUAAUACCGCAUGAUACAGUUGGGUCGCAUGACUCUGACUGUCAAAGAUUUAUCGCUCUGAGAUGGCCUCGCGUCUGAUUAGCUGGUUGGCGGGGUAACGGCCCACCAAGGCGACGAUCAGUAGCCGGACUGAGAGGUUGACCGGCCACAUUGGGACUGAGACACGGCCCAG
rnacentral:rRNA from 1 species